CACUAAGAAGCUAAGCAGCAUUAGCCUUUUAAGCUAAAGAGGGGACACUUAGGUCCCCUUAGUGA
rnacentral:tRNA from 1 species